GUAUUGUUGAGGAGUCGCAUACCAGGGCGAAACGGCCGUCCAAUAC
rfam:Schistosoma curassoni strain Dakar, Senegal genome assembly, scaffold: SCTD_scaffold0004111